UACGUAGGUGGCAAGCGUUGUCCGGAAUUAUUGGCGUAAAGCGCGCGCAGGUGGUUUCUUAAGUCUGAUGUGAAAGCCCACGGCUCAACCGUGGAGGGUCAUUGGAAACUGGGGAACUUGAGUGCAGGAGAGAAGAGUGGAAUUCCACGUGUAGCGGUGAAAUGCGUAGAGAUGUGGAGGAACACCAGUGGCGAAGGCGACUCUUUGGCCUGUAACUGACACUGAGGCGCGAAAGCGUGGGGAGCAAACAGG
rnacentral:rRNA from 1 species